GUUACUGUAAAGAAAAACACUAGAUAUGGCUUGUGCAGUUGUAGAAUUUUGUGAUUCUAAUCAAGUUGAAAUCAUUUCAACAAAUUGGUUUGUUUCCAGUGAAGAAGAAUUUUGUUUAUGGCCUCCAAAAAAAUUGUCAACAAAAGCUCAGAAGAUGGCAAAAAACAGAGUGGCACCUGAUGCUCAAUGGGAUGCAUUCAAGAUUCGUGUUUUAGGAAAGGCUGCAAGCUACACUAGAGCUAUGAGAAAAGUUAGAGUAUGCAGAAAAUAAUUCUGAUUUAAAUUUUACAGAACAGGAGGCUGAAAAAAAUGAAUUUCAAAUUAGGUGUAAAAGAAAUGCAUCUAGAAAAAUGUCAUCAGAUUUUGAAUCUGGCGAUGAUUAUUUUCCUCUUGAAAAAAAAAAAUCAGCUGGGAAACCUAAACCAAUUAAAGAAAACCUAAUUCCUUCUCCUUAAUUUUCUGUGGCAUUGUAAUCAAAUUUACUAACAUUGUUAUCAGUUUCACCUUCUAUACUAUCAACAAAAUCAACUAUACAAAAAUCUUCUGUAACAACAUUAACAUCUCAAGACAUUGCACCAUUGAUGACACCAACCCAGUGCCCUGGUGUUUCAAACACAGCAAUGCUGUAACAUUACCGAACAUUGGUGAGGUAUCUUCUUCAUUGUGCAGCAAUAUUUCUAAUCAAACAACAAAUGCAUUGGUUGUAAAGUUGCUGAAUGUGUGUGUGGGUAUUCAACAAACUCAGAAUAUCUACACUAAUAUGCUAAAUGCUAUGCUUCAACAAGGCAAUGUGGCAAUGCAGGCAUCACAAUUACCAGAUGGAAUAAUAUUACCAAUGGAUACCAUGAAAGCUUUUGAUGCAAUGGAAAUAAAGCUUUAAGAUAGCAAUAUUGCAAACAUAAUCGUUAAUUUGUUAGCCGAUCUCGGAGGAAGAAAAGUUGACGAAGCUGUUCGCCGCAUGAUGCAGCAGCUCCUUAGCAAUAAUUUGGCACUACAAUUUAAUUGUCAGCGAGGGAUGACAAAAAAAGUUUUAAAGGGUACUGAGGUGUUCCAAGUUGUUUAUAGAGCCUUAAAGCGCAAUGCUUUGACAUAAGCAUAUACGCAAAAAGAUUUUGAAGUGUCGCUCGCAAAAUGGCUCAUUGGUGCUCGUGAUCGAGAUGGUAAUAGAGCUAAACGUGUCGGAGCUACAAAACAACCGAAUAUACCUUAGUCACUUUAUAAUUUAAAUCUUUUAUACAUGUUAUGAGACAUAAUAAAGUAAUAAAUAUUAUAAUAAUCAA
rnacentral:lncRNA from 1 species